rnacentral:tRNA from 1 species
GGGGUUGUGGCUCAAUGGUAGAGCGCUUGCCUCACAUGUGUGAGGCACUGGGUUCAAUUCUCAGCACCA